GCUUAGAGAGGGGUCAAUGUCCUAUCAGCUAGUUGGUAGGGUAAUGGCCUACCAAGGCUAAGACGGGUAGCCGGCCUGAGAGGGUGGUCGGCCACACUGGGACUGAGACACUGCCCAGACUCCUACGGGAGGCUGCAGUCGAGAAUCUUUCGCAAUGCCCGAAAGGGUGACGAAGCGACGCCGCGUGUGGGAAGAAGGCCUUCGGGUUGUAAACCUCUGUCGGGAGUUAAGAAAUGUAAGGGUAUUAAUAGUAUCCUUACUUGACUAAGGCUCCGGAGGAAGCCACGGCUAACUCUGUGCCAGCAGCCGCGGUAAUACAGAGGCGGCAAGCGUUGUUCGGAAUUAUUGGGCGUAAAGAGCACGUAGGCGGCUUUGUAAGUCAGUUGUGAAAGCCUUCUGCUCAACGGAAGAACAGCAUCUGAUACUGCAAGGCUAGAGUGCGGAAGGG
rnacentral:rRNA from 1 species